rnacentral:rRNA from 1 species
UCUUGGUCAUUUAGAGGAAGUAAAAGUCGUAACAAGGUUUCCGUAGGUGAACCUGCGGAGGAUCAUUACAGAAUUGUCAAACGGGUUGUUGCUGGCCCUCAAUGGGGGCAUGUGCACGCUCUGUUUACACAUCCACUCACACCUGUGCACUCUCAGUAGUUCUGUGGUCUGGGGGACCCUGUCUCCCUUCCAUGGUCCUACGUCUUUACACACACACACUGUAACAAGUCCUAUGGAAUGUACGUCGCGUCUAACGCAAUACAAUACAACUUUCAGCAACGGAUCUCUUGGCUCUCGCAUCGAUGAAGAACGCAGCGAAAUGCGAUAAGUAAUGUGAAUUGCAGAAUUCAGUGAAUCAUCGAAUCUUUGAACGCACCUUGCGCCCCUUGGCUAUUCCGAGGGGCAUGCCUGUUUGAGUAUCUUGAACACCUCAACUCUCAUGGUUUGCCAUGAUGAGCUUGGACCCUGGGGGUUUGCUGGCCUGUAGUCAGCUCCUCUCAAAUGAAUCAGCCUCCAAGUGUUUGGUGGCAUCACGGGUGUGAUAACUAUCUACGCUCGCUGUUGUCUGCCAGGUAACCUUUGGUGACAAAGGUUCGCUGGAGCUCACAGAUGUCUCUCCUCAGCGAGGACAGCUUUUUGAACGUUCGAUCUCAAAUCAGGUAGGACUACCCGCUGAACUUAAGCAUAUCAAUAAGCGGAGGAAA